UACGUAGGGUGCAAGCGUUGUUCGGAAUUACUGGGCGUAAAGCGCGCGUAGGCGGGCUUGAAAGUUGAUUGUGAAAGCCCUGGGCUUAACCCGGGAAUGGCAGUCAAAACUACAAGUCUUGAGUGCCUGAGAGGAUGGCGGAAUUCCCGGUGUAGUAGUGAAAUACGUAGAUAUCGGGAAGAACACCUGAGGCGAAGGCGGCUAUCUGGCGGUGCACUGACGCUGAGGCGCGAAAGCGUGGGGAGCGGAACAGG
rnacentral:rRNA from 1 species